GUCUCAUUCGCAGGCCUCCCAGGAGCACCAAGGUCCUUGGCAGAAGAGAAAUGUUGGGAAGAUAGUGACCUCAUAUACAGCCGGCUCCAGUAUGACUGCAGCAGGACAUCGGCAGAGUCCCGGGUGAUGAGAGAAAAAGCUUCUCAUAUGUCAGAGUGAUCAGCCUUGUGACCUCCCAGAUGAGUUCAUUACAGCUUCCCGAGGAGGAGAACGAGCAGAAGGUGUAGGGCUCUGGACCAUGCUUGAGUUUGUGUUUGUGCAAUUAUGCUUCCCAGUGCUUAAAAGUCUGGGCAUUUUGAGACAUAAAACAAACCCCUUUUUUCAUUUUUGUCUGCCUAGACUUUCAGUUUUCAUCUGUUUUUUUCCAGGGGGCUUCUGGGAUUGUUAAUUGGAUUACAAUGCCUGCCAGGGGGAAGUCACUAAUAUCGGAAUAUAAAAGUGUGUGUGUCAUUUUGAGACGUGUCUGUUUACAUUGUACUAUGGCAUAAUAGACCUCUCCAGAGUAUCUGACCCACCCCCCUCAUACGGGGGCUCAUGCACAUCUACUCCCCCCCAGGGACAG